rnacentral:lncRNA from 1 species
UUGUUACUUGCAGAUUCGGAUGAUAUGGGUUUACUAUUGACCCCACAAUUAUACGGAGUAAAGGCUAGCUCUGAGCCUCAGCACCAUGGUAGAGCACCUGCUCGGCUCACGGCACCUUCGACUAGACCAAAGGAUAGAGAGCUAGUGCACAUUCAGAGCCGCACGUAAGUACUAGAUCUUCGAGCAAUAUUUUUAAAUUUUUUUAUCAUUUUAGAAUCGAUAUUUAUUGUUCAAAAUUAAAUUUAUAGGAUAUUUAGGGAGCUUGGGGUGUCUCGUGUCGUUAUCAAGAUCAUCCGACGAUUGAUGCUGGAGCUGGUGAACAAGUUCUCUAAUUGACCGUCG